AGCGAACGCUGGCGGCAUGCCUUACACAUGCAAGUCGAACGGCAGCACGGGAGCAAUCCUGGUGGCGAGUGGCGAACGGGUGAGUAAUAUAUCGGAACGUGCCCAGUCGUGGGGGAUAACGUAGCGAAAGCUACGCUAAUACCGCAUACGAUCUAUGGAUGAAAGCGGGGGAUCGCAAGACCUCGCGCGAUUGGAGCGGCCGAUAUCAGAUUAGGUAGUUGGUGAGGUAAAGGCUCACCAAGCCGACGAUCUGUAGCUGGUCUGUGAGGACGACCAGCCACACUGGGACUGAGACACGGCCCAGACUCCUACGGGAGGCAGCAGUGGGGAAUUUUGGACAAUGGGCGCAAGCCUGAUCCAGCAAUGCCGCGUGCAGGAUGAAGGCCUUC
rnacentral:rRNA from 1 species